rnacentral:rRNA from 1 species
AGUGAACGCUGGCGGUAGGCCUAACACAUGCAAGUCGAACGGCAGCACAGUAAGAGCUUGCUCGUACGGGUGGCGAGUGGCGGACGGGUGAGGAAUACAUCGGAAUCUACUUUUUCGUGGGGGAUAACGUAGGGAGACUUACGCUAAUACCGCAUACGAGCUACGGGUGAAAGCAGGGGAUCUUCGGACCUUGCGCGAUUGAAUGAGCAGAUGUCGGAUUAGCUAGUUGGCGGGGUAAAGGCCCACCAAGGCGACGAUCCGUAGCUGGUCUGAGAGGAUGAUCAGCCACACUGGAACUGAGACACGGCCCAGACUCCUGCGGGAGGCAGCAGUGGGGAAUAUUGGACAAUGGGGGCAAGCCUGAUCCAGCCAUACCGCGUGGGUGAAGAAGGCCUUCGGGUUGUAAAGCCCUUUUGUUGGGAAAGAAAAGCAGCAGGUUAAUACAUCGCUGUUCUGACGGUACUCAAAGAAGAAGCACCGGCUAACUUCGUG